UGUAUUCACUACUGUAAGUCGCUCUGGAUAAGAGCGUCUGCUAAAUGACUUAAA
rfam:Salmo salar isolate Sally breed double haploid chromosome ssa25, whole genome shotgun sequence.